UACGUAGGUGGCAAGCGUUGUUCGGAUUUACUGGGCGUAAAGGAUGCGUAGGCGGAUACUUAAGUCAGAUGUGAAAAUCCCGGGCUUAACUUGGGAACUGCAUUUGAAACUGGGUAUCUAGAGUGCGGGAGAGGAAAGCGGAAUUCCUAGUGUAGCGGUGAAAUGCGUAGAGAUUAGGAAGAACACCAGUGGCGAAGGCGGCUUUCUGGACCGUAACUGACGCUGAGGCAUGAAAGCGUGGGGAGCAAACAGG
rnacentral:rRNA from 1 species